UUAGAGAAGAAGAGCAAGAGAUAGAGUAUUUGAGUUAUUAACAAUUCUAAGAGUUCUCUUUCAAAGGCCAGUAGUAGAUAUAUUAUUAUAAAACCAUUGAUAUAAAACUUGCACCCACUUGGGGUUUCUUAUUAGCCAUUGCAUCUCUGUACAUAUAUUCAUAUGUAUCUAUGCAUGAUUAGUUUCAAAUUAUUCGCAUGCGUGCCAAACAUUUCAUAAACCAGUUGCCAGUGGAGUUUUGUUUCAAAAGUCAGGGUCAUGUUGUCACAUGGAGUGGAGACUUUUCAACAUUUUGCAGGCAAUUAAUCUAAAACGAGUUGAGUUUGUGAUACAUUUUCAUACGAAAUCGGUGCAUUUCAUAUUUUAAUUGCGUACAUAUACCGAGGUGGUUUAUUAAGGCAUAAUUCUUGGAAACUAUAUAAUUAUUUUUCUAAGCUUCUUAAAAGACGAAGUGUUCAAGCAAUUCAAAUGAGUUUCAAAAAGUGUGUUAUUUUUUUUAAAUUCUGGUUUUCAAUUACAAAAAAUGGAAAUGUUUACCGAGUCAAUUACAGUUUGUAAAUAAAAAAUUACAUAAGAAACACUAAAAGCAAAUGGUUAGAAAGUGAAAGCAUAAAGCGUUUUAGCAAUUCUACGAUGUUAUUUUCUCUUCAAGAAGCUGCUCAUUUGUCGGAACUGCUGAUAUCGGACCACUAUAUCAUAUAGCUGCCAUACAAACUGAACGAUCGGAAUCAAGGGCUUGUAUGGAAAACUUCCGCAUUUUACUACAUAUCUUCACGAAAUUUGGUGUGAGUUAUUGUUCAUAGAAAUAAUUUAAUCUCCGAAAAAAUUGUUCAGAUCGGUCCAAUAUAGCAUAUAGCUGCCAUACAAACCGAACGAUCGGAAUCAAUGGCUUGUAUGGAAAAUUUUCGCAUUUGACGUGAUAUCUUCACGAAAUUUGACAUGGAUUACUGCUUAAUAAUAUAAUCUCCGAAGAAGUUGUUCAGAUCGAUUAACUAUAUAACCUUAAUGUUUCUAGCAAACAACCCGACUAAAAAGAAUUAGUAAAAUGUUUUCUUUUUUUUUACUUACUUUUUCUUACGUCUUUAGAUUUGCUUAAACACAUAGUUACUAAAAGAAAUGCACCUGUGAACGGCAUAUUAGCUUCGGUACAGCCGAAGUUAACGUUUUUUCUUGUUUUUAAACCAUUUUAGUCGAACAAGAUUUUUUCAGUUACUUCAACUUCAAGUGUGGUGAAAAUUUCUCGAAAAGAGUUAACAAAAAUUGCAACAUCAUCGCAGUUACGAACUAUGCGAGUACAUAUGUACUCUAUAAAUUAUAAUCAGAAUAUCUAGUUUAAUGUAGUCAUAUAGUAAGUAUAUUUAGAAUUUUGGCACAAUUAAAAUAAAUUUCAAGUGCAAAUAUAAUAAAAUCUAUUUAAAACCAUUUUAUCACCUAAAACUUUUCCAAGAUUAAUAUACCUACAGUGGCUAUAUAUACUUGCACUAGACAUUCAAAAAAAUAUAUAUAUGUAUGAUAGUUCUUAACUAAGCAACAAAAGUAAUUCGAAAUAUCUAGAUUUUUCAUGUUUGAAUGGAUUAAGUUGGCUUUAUGAUAAGAAAAAGUAAUUUUGGUAUACUUCAUAAAUUGUUAUGCUAUUCUACAUUAAGAGCUUUAUGUGAUAAGCGUUAGUGGUUGUUGAUUUGCAUAUUUUUGGAUCAAAAGUGGUUAAUAAAUUAUAACUUUAAGCUUUUAUACAUUUUCAGCUCUCAAAAUUUUUUAUAUUAUUUUCUGUGUGCCAAAUUCGUAGGUACAUAAGUAGGGGACUAGGUCAUUGAGCUCAUUAAAUAUUGGAACAAUGGAACUUGAGUACAAAUUGAAGCGUUAGGAUGAAAAAGAAUCACUCUGUCAUGAAUUAGACUUAUUCUAUAAGAAACACGCCAGAAACGUUAAAUUAAACUCUAGAGGUGAGGUUUAGUAGGCGAAAUCUCUCUACUUGACAUUCCUUAACCGAAAUUUUGCAACAAACAGAUUUAUAAACAAUGUAGGCAUCAAAACUUACCUUUGUAUUAAUGAAUACCAGAGGUUAAAAAUUGAAUACACCUUUUCAAGCUCCUAUAUACCGAAUAUCUUGAGAUCUGCAGACAAGCGCUAGAAUAGAAAAAAUGUACAGCCAACUGAAAUUGUGAACUAUAGAGGCAUUUUAUUGCGGCCCUACACUCCUGGAAGAGUCAAAGGAAGAAAGAUGAUACCGAAUAUGAAAAUGUUCGUACCCUAAUGCCAAAAAUGUCGAUGAUUUUCUCAAAUGUUUUAUUGAAAUUUAGUAUACAUAUUUUCCAAGUUGUACAAUUUGUUUUUCGAAAUAUUGUCCAGACCUACAACAGCCUGCAGAACCAAAUAUAUUUUUAUUGUAUUCAGUUGGCUUUAUAUCACACAUAGCGGUCAGUAUGUAAGAUAUUUUAAUGAUGUUUACCAAGGUGUUUUCUUACUGUAGUUUGAUUACAAAAAUAUAUUGUAUAUUCCUUCCUUUCUCUAUUUCUCAUAUAAGCAAUAUUAUGAUUUUCAAGCCUUUUCGUUAACUUUAUAUGUCAACAUUUGUAAAAUUAGAUCUAAGGUUAGAAGAAUUUAUGCCUUUCGAGAAUUUCUACUUGAUAUUAACCUAUUCCAACAAUAACAUAAUUGAACACAUUUUUUUUAUAUUUUUAAUUGUAUUUAUUUGUUAUUUCAUUCAAUAUAUUUUAUCUAAAAACACGCAUUUCAUACGAUCUCAAUAAGCACCAUAAAACAAAAAUUAAAAAUUAAAUAAAAAACACUUUCAUACCAAGUACUAAUUAAAUAUUCACUCACACAAACAUUCACACACUCACACACACACACGCAUAGCAUCACAUUUUGAUAAUAACAGUAUUUCAUACAUCC